GAACGCUGGCGGCAGGCCUAACACAUGCAAGUCGAGCGGUAGAGAGAAGCUUGCUUCUCUUGAGAGCGGCGGACGGGUGAGUAAUGCCUAGGAAUCUGCCUGGUAGUGGGGGAUAACGUCCGGAAACGGACGCUAAUACCGCAUACGUCCUACGGGAGAAAGCAGGGGACCUUCGGGCCUUGCGCUAUCAGAUGAGCCUAGGUCGGAUUAGCUAGUUGGUGGGGUAAUGGCUCACCAAGGCGACGAUCCGUAACUGGUCUGAGAGGAUGAUCAGUCACACUGGAACUGAGACACGGUCCAGACUCCUACGGGAGGCAGCAGUGGGGAAUAUUGGACAAUGGGCGAAAGCCUGAUCCAGCCAUGCCGCGUGUGUGAAGAAGGU
rnacentral:rRNA from 1 species